rfam:TPA: Bos taurus chromosome 14, whole genome shotgun sequence.
UCAUGGCUCAGAUGGUAAAGAAUCUGCCUACAAUGCAGAAGACCCAGGUUCAAUCCCUGGGUCAGGAA